AGUGAACGCUGGCGGUAGGCCUAACACAUGCAAGUCGAACGGCAGCACAGGAGAGCUUGCUCUCUGGGUGGCGAGUGGCGGACGGGUGAGGAAUACAUCGGAAUCUGCCCAGUCGCGGGGGAUAACGCAGGGAAACUUACGCUAAUACCGCAUACGACCUUCGGGUGAAAGAGGGGGAUCGCAAGACCUCUCGCGAUUGGAUGAGCCGAUGUCGGAUUAGCUAGUUGGCGGGGUAAUGGCCCACCAAGGCGACGAUCCGUAGCUGGUCUGAGAGGAUGAUCAGCCACACUGGAACUGAGACACGGUCCAGACUCCUACGGGAGGCAGCAGUGGGGAAUAUUGGACAAUGGGCGCAAGCCUGAUCCAGCCAUACCGCGUGGGUGAAGAAGGCCUUCGGGUUGUAAAGCCCUUUUGUUGGGAAAGAAAUCUUUCAGGCUAAUACCCUGGGAGGAUGACGGUACCCAAAGAAUAAGCACCGGCUAACUUCGUG
rnacentral:rRNA from 1 species